rnacentral:lncRNA from 1 species
UGGAUCAUUAGUAGAGAUGGGGUUGCGUAGGAAAGAUGGUGCAAGCUGACUGUAUUGGGUUUGUGUUAGCCCAAACAAAAUACAUAAGUUGAGUUGGGGAGUGUGGAUAGUGAGGCAGGCUGGAGGGAAGUUCAAAACAGGUUAGGCCAAACCCUAAACAACACACUAAAACCCUAAGGGAGAGCCUCCACCUCUAUUUAAAAAAACCUCUCUCCCCCUCUCCCCCUCUCUCUCCCAUACAUUCAAAUCUCUACAACUCUCUCUUCUCGCUAACUCGUUCGAGAUGGACGAAGCCGGUGGCAAACGGUGGUUAUCGCUGUCUUCUCUGGCCACCCUCGACCAGAACAAAAAAUAAACAAGAGUAACCCCUUUUAACUUUCUACCCUCAUCUCGAUUCCAACCUUCAUUCAAUAAAAUAAAUAAAUCAAUUGACCAGAUUGGAGACCAAAAACUCGCGAAUAAAAACCUUAUCAAAUCGCAUGAACUUCAACACAAACCUUAUUCGUUGUUCACUUCUAAACAUGAUUUCACAGUCAAAUCAUCCAAAAAAAUAAACAGAAACCUAAAUACCCUUAGCCCCAAAUUAUAAACCCUAACCUCGUAUUCAUUAUGUUCAGAGACAUUGCAAAUACAAAUGCAAAAAUAAGCAAGUAAAAGUGUAACGACAAAACAAAAUCAAAAGGUCUACCAAGCUUGAGCACUUAGAACAUGAUAACUAGGUAACUUGAUCUCUCUCAUCUGCUUUGUUUCAGUCUCAAACUCCCAUUCUUCUCUUUCUUGGUGUGUUGUUUAUGUAUGCGUAUGAUUAGGUGUGUAGCUCAGAUUAUACCAAAGUUUCAGUGUGUAGCUCAGGACUAUGCUUAGUGAUCCGCGUGAACACUUAAUCAAGGUGGAAAUUAAUUGGUAAUGCAUUUUUAUUGGUGUGAAUAUAUAAUUUCAUUUGGUUCUGUGUUUGUUGAAAUGUAAAUGAAAUUAAGAUGAUAAUGUGAAUUUGUUUUGGGAUGAAAAGCUUGAAUUUUGGUGGUCCUAACUUUUAUAUGUAUGUGUCGUGUAUGUAUGUAUUAUGCAAUGGUGAAUGGUCUGUAUUGUUAUGUUUGAAGUGAUGCUUCUUUUGGUUCUUUUCUAAUUUUAUUUUAAAUUCAUUUCUAAUGUGUGCAUGCUAUAUGUUGGUGAAUGGUUUGUUGGAUGUGGAUGCAUGUACACUAUGGCGAUGUUGAUAGAUGAUGGUGCUAUGGUCCAAGAGUGGUGAUAAAUGAAUGCUGCAAGUAAAAUCGUGUGGAGACCCUUAAAAAAAAAUCUAACUUUUUCUCCUUUUCCAUUUUUGUACCAACAUUAAAAAUACAAAAACUCUCUUUUUGUAUUUUUUGAUGCGUCAUACCCUUAAUUUUCCCCCUCCUUAAAAUCAUUCAUCUGCAUCAUUUUAUGACCAUUUCAUAUGGUCAUAACACUUCAUUUUAUGCAUAAAUCAAAUUAGCAGUCAAGGACUAGAGGACAAUUUGAUUUGUAUGGAUUGUUUUGACCACUUCAUACAUUCAUAUCACGCAUCAUUAGAGGUUAUUGACAUGUUAGAUUUUGGGUCUUUGGUUUAUUUGGUCAUUUUUGAUUAGGUACUAUUUUCCCUUAACUUCUUAAAAGUGUAUUCUUGUCGGCCAAUUUGAACUUUGUGUGAUUCCUUACCAUGAUUCAUACAUUCCUAAUAUUCAUUCAUCCAUACAUAUCCACGAAACAAUGUUAAAAUUCAAAGUUUAGUUGGAUUCAA